CUAGUACUCCCUCCGUCCCGAAUUACUUGUGGCAGAAAUGGAUGUAUCUACAACUAAAAAUAUGUCUAGAUACAUCCAUUUCCGAGACAAGUAAUUCCGCACGGAGGGAGUAAUUU
rfam:Triticum aestivum genome assembly, contig: Triticum_aestivum_CS42_TGACv1_scaffold_592602_7BS